rnacentral:ncRNA from 1 species
AAUGAGUUGUUUUGUCGCUUUUCAUUAUAGAUCUUAUGGGACUUUUUUUCUACAACAAAAUAGGCUCCAUAGUAUCUAUAGGGGAUUUACCCACUAUAAAUAUUAUAGAGCC